GGUAAUGCUGAAGAUUCUGUGGAGUUGUUUCCUUUGGUUGGUUUUGUUUGCUUGCUUGCUUUCUUCCUCUCUCCCUCCUUCUCUUCCCUUUCUUUCCUGUCUCUACCUCUCUAUUUGGGGGAUUAAAGGUAUACCACCACAUCCAGUUGAUGCUGAGGAUUUUGAUAGCAGCUGCAGUCCCAAGUCCAUGGGUUGGUAAGGAAGCCAUCCCUGUUUUCCACCUGGUGAAAACAGUUGAUGCUGAAUAUUGGGGAUCCUGGUAGCCAUGCUCCUGGAGCAAGAAAUAGCUACAGACAGGGACUGGGGUGGGUAACUGAAACACUUUAUUCUACACACUGAUAAAACUCCAAUAGCAUAGCCAUGUAGUAUAAUACUAUAGUAAAAUAGUGGUUAGUUACAUACCAUAUAAACUAGUUAUAUAAUAUAUACUACUCAUAUACAAACUAUACUGUAUCCUACAGAUACAUGUAUAUACAUGCAUACACUGUAUGUACUAAAUAAUACUAUAUUAUAUACUAUACCAAGAUACAUAAAUCUCUUUGAAUAGUUUGCAAAAAGUUUCAAUAAAAUACUACAAAAUUGUAUCUAAUAUAAAAAGACACAUUCCAUGCUUUAGCCCAGAGAAACAAUGUUUUCGCAUUGUAAAGUCAAUGCAUUGCACAGCCAUCUCCAGUGUACCAUGUACCUUUCAAAGAGACAUGAGCUCAGUACUUCCUGUACCCAAUAGUCUUUUUCUAGAUGAGUUCUAGCAUCACUUCGAAUGAAGAUGGGAAACUGAAGGUCUUGUGACAGUUCUUAAGCUCAGAAUUUCUGCAGAGUGUUUCCUUGCUUCUCAGAAAGAAGUGUAAAAUUGAAGCCUGCCCACAUUACUUAGGCCUACAGGUGUUUUCCCCUCUGGUCCUUUUUAUGCCUUUGAGGAACACUGAGAAUCUGAGUGCUUCCCCCAUGUUCCUAGUCCUAGUGUUUUAGCUAAGUAUGUGUUCUUUCACACAGCCUGAGACAGCUGUGGCAUCUGAAGCCUUACCUCUUUUCUCACAAACGUGGGCUUCCUACUGUUCAGUGUGAACCUUUUUUGUGUCCUUUAUGGAGAUUAGGAAAGCACUGGUUUUUCAUAGUCUUUACAGUCACUCUGAUGAUAUGCUGUCCAAGGAGUAGUUUCUUUGAGGGCAAAUGGAAACGGUGACAUUUACCAUAUUUAUUUGUACUCAAAGGACAUGUCUCCCGUACAAGUUUACUCAUGUUUUCAAGGCAACUGUAGUCAGUGGCUCUCCAGUGCUUGCAUUAAUAGGGAUACUCUCCAACAUGAAUUCUUUAUGGUUCUGAGGAUACCUGGAAGAAGUGAAGGAUUUACCGCAUUGUCUGCAUUCACACUGUUUCUCUCCUGCAUGAGAGUUUAUUUGAUGUGCUCUAAAUAUGCUGGGGCUGUGAAAUGUGAAAGGCUUUUUUUCACAUAUUCACAUUAAAAAGGUCAUUUCC
rnacentral:lncRNA from 1 species